CCAACGUGGAAGCCCAUCGCGCGGCCAUCGUCGUCUUCGUCGACAUCGUCGUUGCCCGAGUGCGCGCCAACGACGCGAACGAUCCCCGGGUGAGGAGCUUUCUUUAUCCAGCUGACCCACUCAGAUUGCUGCAACGCAAAAGGCCUGCCACGCGUCGUCAACGAGAAAGGCGCGCAACGAGAAAAGAACGAGGCCAAACGAGGGAGAGAACUAGAUGAAAAAUCGGUGAUAUAGAUGAUUAAAUAUAUGACGUCGUAAAGUCUCUCGAGGAGGAUGCUCAAUUUGAAGUGGACAUUUAAUGUUCAUCGAUUGAACGUGAAAUGAUCACGAUGCGUACGAGGGUCUACGAUUAUGUAAUAACUGCUACACGAGAUUAAUUAGACGCGAUGUGGAAAUUAGCUGGAGAAAGAAGGCUUCUUGAUUAAAACUCCACGUUAAGCUGCAACAUGUGACUACUUUUUUCGGCGGUAGGGAAAGAAGGAACGAGUUGCGAGAAAAAACUAGCGUUGAAGGAGAACGAAAGCGAAUGGAAGAUACGGCUGACGGAGAGGAGAGAGACCACAGAAGCGCCGUGGAGAUACUCGAGCCAUGCAUGCAAGAGAAAAAAGAGAAAAGGGAGAGAUGCGGUAUUAUUUUCAACUAAAUGAGUCACGGUUUCGUCCAGUGAGAGCUCCAGCGAGGGAGGAACGCUUGGAUUCGCUCAGCAAGAACGACCGAUAACGCACGUUAUCUCGCAGUGCAUACGCGCCGAAGCCGAGAUUUCCAUGCCGCGCGUUCACCAACGGCCGAUUAAUGAAAUCCGAUGCCGAUGGAUCAAUUAGUGUACACUGUCGCGCAUCCGGGAUAGCACAUUCGCGAGGUUCACGUCCGGAAGUGCGAGGAACGUGAUCGCGUCGAUUCUACGAACGUCGUUUACCGAGGAAUCGACUCGAGGAAAUAAACGUGUUAGCACGCCACGGGGACGAUGCACCAUCCACUGGGUUACUCAUUAAUGCGUUUUCUGUGGCGCCUCGCUGAUUAGUACAGUCCGAGACAAAAACCCAUCGACGUGGUCCCAUGUGAGAUAGGUCCCAUUACAUUAUCAGUGUAAAGUAGAGGCGGCGCGCUGGCUGCAGCCCGACUACAGCGAUGCCUCCGUCCAGCUGUUGGCGUCCAAUUAGCCUCGCUUGAUAAGCUCAACAAUACUGGCAUUAUUGCAGAACAACCGGCCGUUUGUGCAUGCGUCGUAGCGCCGCUACAUUUUGACGUUUCCAUCGUUCGCUCCCCUUUCUCCUAUGCACCGCUUAUUGUUGGCCCAUUUCGUUACUUCCCUACGUGGCUUUUUGUUGGAUUAUACCGUUAAACUCGCGAACCAUUAUGCAACCACGUAUUGCUCCGCCAAGUUCGAAGAACCUUUAUAUAAGCUGAAAUUGCUGUUACUCGACUGGGAAUGGCAAAUCUACGAUAUAAACAACGAAUUUUGAGUUUAUGGGAUGGAACGGAGGGUGAAUUAUUUGGUUGAGAUUAAAAUACGGUGGAGAGAUAUGGUAGGUAGAUUCUAGCUUAAUGUGUGUGAUAAAGGAAACGUGUCCAUGGCCUCAUCCUCGCGUCCACCCACGCAUCUGCAACAUCCUCUCGUGAUAUGAAAGCUAUCAGUCAUCCUGCAGAAUGUGUUAUCGUUGCACCGCGUACCGCGUAGCUCGCGCUCUUCCUCUUUCCCUUUUUUUUUCACGUUCGCCUUCCGGCGUCCUCGCCCUGUCCCUUCUCUACCUCCAUCUCCCCUCCUCCUCCUCCUUCUCUUCGUCCUCUUGGUGUCUCUCUUUCUCCUGUAUUCGCCGUCGUAUUACGUGUUAGGCAGAUACGAGCCAUUAUUACUCUCAGGAUCGGAUAGGUCGUCGAGCUGCAUAUGUAAAUGCGCGCACAACGCAAUAGGCAUCCGUGCGUGAAUCUGAAAUACUCCCGCAUAAUCAACUGGCCAUCGAUCGACUGGCAUUACGACGAAAAACGAUAAUCCUCUUUUGCGACUUGAUUACUUGACAAUUCUAGAUUUUUAGUUUACGCUGUCUCCAGAAAACGUGAUGAUGCAGUUGCAUGCUGAUCGAGAUUGGAGAUAACUUAAGAAAUUAGAGAUACUUCAGAAACGUGUAUUAUUUCAAGAUUGACAAAAAAAGACGCUCUCGAUGAAUUGCAUUCAUUGUGAUCGAAAAAAACUCGUGUCUAUUCCUUCAAAUUCUGAAUGCACCUGCUUAGAUCUAUAGAUCCUGAACAUCCGACCCUGGAUCGUGCGCUCUUGUUGCGCUCUACGUGCAUCAAGUGAACCGGUGCGCACGCGUGUGCGUGAGCGCGCGUCCGCGAGGCCAGUGCGUGCACUCUCGUUAUCGUCUUACACACGCACGUGCGUGUAGUACGAGGCGUAGUACUACGCCACCGCCCUUUCCCCUCGCACCGUCCGACAGACCUCUCCUUCUCCCCUGAAACCAGCGGAUCAGCCAGUUUCCCGCUCUUGCCGUCUCCUAUCCCAUUCGCCCACCGUGCUACACGUGGUCCCCACCCGUGCGGCCUGUUUUAUCGCCGUCACGUGGUGCAAGCCUCCCCUCUGUGCCCCCUCUGCCAACCUGACGUCACGCGGUCACUAACCAUAUUAUGUUCGCGGCACUGACCUUAGCCCGCCGCAGACCACUUUUAAAACCUUCACAACCUUCGGUACGAAAGCUCGGUUUUGACGUUAUGAAUAGUAUGAUGAUAAUAAUACUGCUGAAUUGUUAAGUAAAUGUUGAUAGUAAUAUGUACUGGCAUUGAUAAUAAAAAUUGAUAGUGAGAACAUCGUUUCUACAACAUCUCGACAACUUGAGAUCAAUUCUAACGUGACAGUCUUCUUCCUCGGUGAGUUUCCCAAUUUGAAAUUAUGUUUGAAGGGACGAUGGUUGAACUAAUGAGAUAAUUAAUUGAUUAAGCGAGGUUCAGAGGUCCGUGACAUCAGCCUGGCAGGUUGACGAUCAAACAUGUUGAGGAUCAAACAUGUGAACAAUUAACUAGCUACAUCAACGUGUCCUAUACACCGCAGCCUGCUCAAGUUAACCAAUCUGAGGCGUAUCGAUUGGACAAAUUAAUUAAUUAUUCCGGAAACUUUCCUUACCCCGUAGCAAGAACCGGCUUGUCCUCGAGUAUCCCACCGAUGUUUCAAAGGCAUCGUUACACGAAUGGAUUAAAGUGUCAUUAGGCUCAUUAAAUUGUAUUCAAUGUUGGAUUCUCAGAGGACGAUGUAAUCCUACUUCUAACGAUCACGAAAUGACACUCGCCCAGGCGCCAGGCAAUAUUAAAUAUUUAUAUCUUUAACAUAAUACUUUUUUUUAUUUCACAAACUCGGAUAGAUGUAAAAAUGUCAUGAUUGCAUAUGCCAAUGUUUCGUAGUGUUUAUUUACUGAGAUUACCGUGUGUGAAUAAAACAUCCGUGUAAUA